GAUGAACGCUGGCGGCGUGCCCAAUACAUGCAAGUCGAGCGAAUGGAUUAAGAGCUUGCUCUUAUGAAGUUAGCGGCGGACGGGUGAGUAACACGUGGGUAACCUGCCCAUAAGACUGGGAUAACUCCGGGAAACCGGGGCUAAUACCGGAUAACAUUUUGAACCGCAUGGUUCGAAAUUGAAAGGCGGCUUCGGCUGUCACUUAUGGAUGGACCCGCGUCGUAUUAGCUAGUUGGUGAGGUAACGGCUCACCAAGGCAACGAUGCGUAGCCGACCGGAGAGGGUGUGCGGCCACACUGGGACUGAGACACGGCCCAGACUCCUACGGGAGGCAGCAGUAGGGAAUCUUCCGCAAUUGACGAAAGUCUGACGGAGCAACGCCGCGUGAGUGAUGAAGGCUUUCGGGUCGUAAAACUCUGUUGUUAGGGAAGAACAAGUGCUAGUUGAAUAAGCUGGCACCUUGACGGUACCUAACCAGAAAGCCACGGCUAACUACGUGCCAGCAGCCGCGGUAA
rnacentral:rRNA from 1 species